rnacentral:rRNA from 1 species
UACGUAGGGUGCGAGCGUUGUCCGGAAUUAUUGGGCGUAAAGAGCUCGUAGGCGGUCUGUCGCGUCUGCUGUGAAAACCCGAGGCUCAACCUCGGGCCUGCAGUGGGUACGGGCAGACUAGAGUGCGGUAGGGGAGAUUGGAAUUCCUGGUGUAGCGGUGGAAUGCGCAGAUAUCAGGAGGAACACCGAUGGCGAAGGCAGAUCUCUGGGCCGUAACUGACGCUGAGGAGCGAAAGCGUGGGGAGCGAACAGG